CGCGUAGGCGGGCGGGCAAGUCGGAGGUGAAAGCCCCCAGCUCAACUGGGGAAGUGCCCUCGAUACUGCCGGCCUGGAGGGAGGUAGGGGCGUGCGGAACUUCCGGUGGAGCGGUGAAAUGCGUAGAUAUCGGAAGGAACACCGGUGGCGAAGGCGGCACGCUGGGCCUUUCCUGACGCUGAGGCGCGAAAGCCAGGGGAGCGAACG
rnacentral:rRNA from 1 species